GAGCCUGAUGCAGCCAUGCCGCGUGUGUGAAGAAGGCCUUCGGGUUGUAAAGCACUUUCAGCGGGGAGGAAGGCGAUACGGUUAAUAACCGUGUUGAUUGACGUUACCCGCAGAAGAAGCACCGGCUAACUCCGUGCCAGCAGCCGCGGUAAUCA
rnacentral:rRNA from 1 species